CAGGAGUUAGUUUAUAAAAAUAUUGAUUUUGGGGAUCAUUGAUAGGAAUUUUCCUACUUCUGA
rnacentral:tRNA from 1 species